rnacentral:tRNA from 1 species
ACCGCGAUAGCUCAGCUGGUAGAGCAUCUGCCUGGUAUGCGGAGGGUCGCCGGUUCGGCUCCAGCUCGCGGCU